GCUAAACAAAUCUGGAAAUAGCUGGUUCUCUCCGAAAACUAUUUAGGUAGUGCCUCAAGUAUUACUGCAGGGGGUAGAGCACUGUUAUGGCUAGGGGGUCAUGGCGACUUACCAAACCAUGGCAAACUCCGAAUACCUGCAAGUACAGCUUGGGAGACAGAGCACCGGGUGCUAACGUCCGGACUCAAGAGGGAAACAACCCAGACCGCCAGCUAAGGUCCCGAAUUAUCGCUAAGUGGGAAACGAAGUGGGAAGGCAUAGACAGUCAGGAGGUUGGCUUAGAAGCAGCCACCCUUUAAAGAAAGCGUAAUAGCUCACUGAUCGAGUCGUCCUGCGCGGAAGAUGUAACGGGGCUAAGCGAUAAACCGAAGCUGCGGGUGUGCACUUUUAGUGCACGCGGUAGGAGAGCGUUCUGUAAGCCUGCGAAGGUGGCUUGUAAAGGCUGCUGGAGGUAUCAGAAGUGCGAAUGCUGACAUGAGUAGCGAUAAAGGGGGUGAAAAGCCCCCUCGCCGUAAGUCCAAGGUUUCCUGCGCAACGUUCAUCGGCGCAGGGUGAGUCGGCCCCUAAGGCGAGGCAGAGAUGCGUAGCUGAUGGGAAGCUGGUUAAUAUUCCAGCACCGUCGUACAGUGCGAUGGGGGGACGGAUCGCGGAAGGUCAUCAGGGUGUUGGAUGUCCCUGUUGCUGCAUUGAAGAUGGCGCUUAGGCAAAUCCGGGCGCGAGAAUCAAGGGUGUGGCACGAGCGAGCAAGUCUCGCGAAGUGAUUGGAAGUGGUUCCAAGAAAAGCCUCUAAGCUUCAGCUGUACGAGACCGUACCGCAAACCGACACAGGUGGACGGGAUGAAUAUUCCAAGGCGCUUGAGAGAACUCAGGAGAAGGAACUCGGCAAAUUGAUACCGUAACUUCGGGAGAAGGUAUACCCUGGUAGUGUGAAGCGCCUGCGCGCUGAGCAUGAAGGGGUCGCAGAGAAUCGGUGGCUGCGACUGUUUAUUAAAACACAGCACUCUGCAAAGACGAAAGUCGACGUAUAGGGUGUGACGCCUGCCCGGUGCCGGAAGGUUAAGUGAUGGGGUGCAAGCUCUUGAUCGAAGCCCCGGUAAACGGCGGCCGUAACUAUAACGGUCCUAAGGUAGCGAAAUUCCUUGUCGGGUAAGUUCCGACCUGCACGAAUGGCGUAACGAUGGCCACACUGUCUCCUCCUGAGACUCAGCGAAGUUGAAGUGUUUGUGAUGAUGCAAUCUACCCGCGGCUAGACGGAAAGACCCCAUGAACCUUUACUGUAGCUUUGCAUUGGACUGUGAACCGGCCUGUGUAGGAUAGGUGGGAGGCGCAGAACUCGAGUCGCCAGAUUCGAGGGAGCCAUCCUUGAAAUACCACCCUGGUUUGUUUGCGGUUCUAACCUUGGUCCGUUAUCCGGAUCGGGGACAGUGCAUGGUAGGCAGUUUGACUGGGGCGGUCUCCUCCCAAAGCGUAACGGAGGAGUUCGAAGGUACGCUAGGUACGGUCGGAAAUCGUGCUGAUAGUGCAAUGGCAUAAGCGUGCUUGACUGUGAGACUGACAAGUCGAACAGGUGCGAAAGCAGGACAUAGUGAUCCGGUGGUUCUGAAUGGAAGGGCCAUCGCUCAACGGAUAAAAGGUACUCUGGGGAUAACAGGCUGAUACCGCCCAAGAGUUCAUAUCGACGGCGGUGUUUGGCACCUCGAUGUCGGCUCAUCUCAUCCUGGGGCUGUAGCCGGUCCCAAGGGUAUGGCUGUUCGCCAUUUAAAGAGGUACGUGAGCUGGGUUUAAAACGUCGUGAGACAGUUUGGUCCCUAUCUGCCGUGGGCGUUGGAUACUUGACGGAGCCUGCUCCUAGUACGAGAGGACCGGAGUGGACGUACCUCUGGUGUACCGGUUGUCAUGCCAAUGGCAUUGCCGGGUAGCUAAGUACGGAAGAGAUAACCGCUGAAGGCAUCUAAGCGGGAAACUCGUCUGAAGAUUAGGUAUCCCGGGGACUAGAUCCCCCUGAAGGGUCGUUCGAGACCAGGACGUUGAUAGGUCGGGUGUGGAAGCGCAGUAAUGCGUUAAGCUAACCGAUACUAAUUGCCCGUGAGGCUUGAUC
rnacentral:rRNA from 1 species